rnacentral:rRNA from 1 species
CAAUAGCGUAUAUUAAAGUUGUUGCAGUUAAAAAGCUCGUAGUUGAAGUUCUGGCUGUUCGAUCCUCGAGCUCUGUAGCCGAGGACUCGACAGUCAUCCGCUUGCAAAUAUAGUUCGCUUUUAACCGAGUGGCUAUAUGAGUAAGCAAUUUACCUUGAGAAAAACAGAGUGUUCCAGGCAGGUUUGUCCGGAAUGCAUUAGCAUGGAAUAAUAGAAUAUGACUGAAGUCGAUUUAUUGGUUUGAGGCUUUAGUAAUGAUUAAUAGGAACAGUCGGGGGCAUUGGUACUUGACAGUCAGAGGUGAAAUUCUAGGAUUUGUCAAAGACUAACAAAUGCGAAAGCAUUUGCCAAGGAUGUUUUCAUUAAUCAAGAACGAAAGUUAGGGGAUCAAAGACGAUUAGAUACCAU